GAAAACAAUGAGUUUAAUAUUACAGAACUCCCAAAGAAGCCCAAAGGGGCUUCUUCAUGAGCGACAUCUGCAGGACCAAGCAGUACAAAGAAUGAAAAGGCACGGUCUGAAGUGCUAACAGGCUUCAGCCAAAGACCAUCCAUUUUCAUUCUGAGCAAAAGAAAGCGAGAUUAACAAAUAACCAACCUUGAAUUGUCCUCUUGAAGAAAGCCUUGCAGGCCUCGCAGGAGGCCACUCCGUAGUGGUACCCCGACGCAAUGUCACCGCACACCAAACACAGUCUUUUGGGCAUCGAGUUCAGCAUGUAUUCACACUUGGUCUGUGAGUCUUCAGCGAUGGUACUGGAGCAGUCAUCGUACCGUUUCCUGACCGGCCCGUUGCCCCCCAGCCCCGUGGCCGAGGGGUAGAGGGGAGGCGAGUCCAGCCCGUUCUGAUGGCCAUUCAUGGUGGAACUGUAGCUCCCGCUGGCGUCGGAGGAGCCACCGGGGCUGUGGUGGUUGAUGCUGUCCGUCAGAGAGGCGGGGCUCGACGGUUCCGUCUUGAUGUACGACGAACAGCUGGAAUCAAUGUGUCGAUCUUUGCUUGACAUUCUGCAGAGAAGCCUGCAGAGGGGAGAGAGAGAAAGAAGAAUGUGUGUAUUAAAGACAGUGCUCUUUAAGGCUGCUCUGGAAGGGUUAGGGACUGCACAUCAUUCAUUCAUUAGUCAAUACUUCUUGUUCUACAUGAAGGUAAUCAGCAUAAGGGCAUGACAGAGCUUUGUCAAAGCUCCAGACAGGCAGUAAACAAAAACUUU